rnacentral:rRNA from 1 species
CGUAGGGUGCGAGCGUUAAUCGGAAUUACUGGGCGUAAAGCGUGCGCAGGCGGUUAUAUAAGACAGAUGUGAAAUCCCCGGGCUCAACCUGGGAACUGCAUUUGUGACUGUAUAGCUAGAGUACGGCAGAGGGGGAUGGAAUUCCGCGUGUAGCAGUGAAAUGCGUAGAUAUGCGGAGGAACACCGAUGGCGAAGGCAAUCCCCCUGGGCCUGUACUGACGCUCAUGCACGAAAGCGUGGGGAGCAAACAGGAUUAGAUACCCUGGUAGUCCACGCCCUAAACGAUGUCAACUGGUUGUUGGGUCUUCACUGACUCGGUAACGAAGCUAACGCGUGAAGUUGACCGCCUGGGGAGUACGGCCGCAAGGUUG